rnacentral:rRNA from 1 species
AUGAGCUUCGAUUGGGAAGACCUCUUUCCUCUAGUCUCGGUUCGUAAACUUGUUAGAGAUGUGUCAGACCAUAAUCCUUUGCUUUUGUCCUCGAGUCCUGUGAAAACCAGUCCCCUUCAUAAUCGUGAAUUCAGAUUCGAGCUUAGCUGGCUGAAAAACGAGGAGUUUUACCUGAAAGCUAAAAGCAUUUGGGAGCAGCCAGUUAACGCGAGCGAUCCGAUCGAUAUCCUUAACAUUAAGCUGAAACGUAUCAAGAAAUACUUUAAGGGUUGGGGGUCACACUCUUUU